CCUACGGGAGGCUGCAGUAGGGAAUAUUGCUCAAUGGGGGAAACCCUGAAGCAGCAACGCCGCGUGGAGGAUGAAGGUUUUAGGAUUGUAAACUCCUUUUGUGAGAGAAGAUAAUGACUUUUUCUCACGAAUAAUCACCCGCUAACUCCUUUCCAGCUGCCGCAGGAAUACGGAGGGUGCAAUCUUUACUCGGAAUCACUGGGCGUAAAGAGUGCGCAGGCUGUCUUUUAAGUCAGAUGUGAAAUCCUGUAGGUUAAAUACAGUAAUGCAUUUGAAACUAUGAGUCUAGAGUGUGAGAGAGGUAGGUGGAAUUAUAGGUGUAGGGGUAAAAUCCGUAGAUAUAAAGAGGAAUACUCAUUGCGAAGGCGACCUACUGGAACAUUACUGACGCUGAUGCACGAAAGCGUGGGGAGCAAACAGGAUUAGAUACCCCUGUAGUC
rnacentral:rRNA from 1 species